rnacentral:tRNA from 1 species
CAGAAAAUAGUUUAAAGUAAAAUAAUAAUUUUGGAGAUUAUUGAUAUAUAUAUAUAUAUAUAUUUCUGA